AUUGAACGCUGGCGGCAUGCUUUACACAUGCAAGUCGAACGGCAGCACGGACUUCGGUCUGGUGGCGAGUGGCGAACGGGUGAGUAAUACAUCGGAACGUGCCCAGUUGUGGGGGAUAACUACUCGAAAGAGUAGCUAAUACCGCAUGAGAACUGAGGUUGAAAGCAGGGGAUCGUAAGACCUUGCGCAACUGGAGCGGCCGAUGGCAGAUUAGGUAGUUGGUGGGAUAAAAGCUUACCAAGCCGACGAUCUGUAGCUGGUCUGAGAGGACGACCAGCCACACUGGGACUGAGACACGGCCCAGACUCCUACGGGAGGCAGCAGUGGGGAAUUUUGGACAAUGGGCGAAAGCCUGAUCCAGCAAUGCCGCGUGCAGGAUGAAGGCCUUCGGGUUGUAAACUGCUUUUGUACGGAACGAAAAGCUUCGGGUUAAUACCCUGGAGUUAUGACGGUACCGUAAGAAUAAGCACCGGCUAACUACGUGCCAGCAGCCGCCGUAACAC
rnacentral:rRNA from 1 species